rnacentral:rRNA from 1 species
UGGCUUAGAAGCAGCCACCCUUUAAAGAAAGCGUAAUAGCUCACUGAUCGAGUCGUCCUGCGCGGAAGAUGUAACGGGGCUAAGCCAUAUACCGAAGCUGCGGAUGCGAGCUAGUCUCGCAUGGUAGGAGAGCGUUCCGUAAGCCUGCGAAGGUGCGUUGAAAAGCGUGCUGGAGGUAUCGGAAGUGCGAAUGCUGACAUGAGUAGCGAUAAAGGGGGUGAAAGGCCCCCUCGCCGUAAGCCCAAGGUUUCCUACGCAACGUUCAUCGGCGUAGGGUGAGUCGGCCCCUAAGGCGAGGCAGAAAUGCGUAGCUGAUGGGAAGCAGGUCAAUAUUCCUGCACCAUUGUUAGAUGCGAUGGGGGGACGGAUCGCGGAAGGUUGUCCGGGUGUUGGAAGUCCCGGUCGCUGCAUUGGAGAAGGCGCUUAGGCAAAUCCGGGCGCAGGAUUCAAGGGUGUGGCGCGAGCUCCUUCGGGAGCGAAGCAAUUGGAAGUGGUUCCAAGAAAAGCCUCUAAGCUUCAGUCUAACGAUGACCGUACCGCAAACCGACACAGGUGGGCGAGAUGAGUAUUCUAAGGCGCUUGAGAGAACUCGGGAGAAGGAACUCGGCAAAUUGGUACCGUAACUUCGGGAUAAGGUACGCCCUGGUAGCUUGACUGGCCUGCGCCAGAAGGGUGAAGGGGUUGCAAUAAACUGGUGGCUGCGACUGUUUAAUAAAAACACAGCACUCUGCAAACACGAAAGUGGACGUAUAGGGUGUGACGCCUGCCCGGUGCCGGAAGAUUAAAUGAUGGGGUGCAAGCUCUUGAUUGAAGUCCCGGUAAACGGCGGCCGUAACUAUAACGGUCCUAAGGUAGCGAAAUUCCUUGUCGGGUAAGUUCCGACCUGCACGAAUGGCGUAACGAUGGCCACACUGUCUCCUCCCGAGACUCAGCGAAGUUGAAGUGUUUGUGAUGAUGCAAUCUACCCGCGGCUAGACGGAAAGACCCCAUGAACCUUUACUGUAGCUUUGCAUUGGACUUUGAACCGAUCUGUGUAGGAUAGGUGGGAGGCUAUGAAACCGGAACGCUAGUUUCGGUGGAGCCGUCCUUGAAAUACCACCCUGGUUUGUUUGAGGUUCUAACCUUGGCCCGUGAUCCGGGUCGGGGACAGUGCAUGGUAGGCAGUUUGACUGGGGCGGUCUCCUCCCAAAGCGUAACGGAGGAGUACGAAGGUACGCUAGGUACGGUCGGAAAUCGUGCUGAUAGUGCAAUGGCAUAAGCGUGCUUAACUGCGAGACCGACAAGUCGAGCAGGUGCGAAAGCAGGUCAUAGUGAUCCGGUGGUUCUGUAUGGAAGGGCCAUCGCUCAACGGAUAAAAGGUACUCUGGGGAUAACAGGCUGAUACCGCCCAAGAGUUCAUAUCGACGGCGGUGUUUGGCACCUCGAUGUCGGCUCAUCUCAUCCUGGGGCUGUAGCCGGUCCCAAGGGUAUGGCUGUUCGCCAUUUAAAGAGGUACGUGAGCUGGGUUUAAAACGUCGUGAGACAGUUUGGUCCCUAUCUGCCGUGGGCGUUGGAAGUUUGAAGGGGGCUGCUCCUAGUACGAGAGGACCGGAGUGGACGAACCUCUGGUGUACCGGUUGUGACGCCAGUCGCAUCGCCGGGUAGCUAUGUUCGGAAGAGAUAACCGCUGAAAGCAUCUAAGCGGGAAACUCGCCUUAAGAUGAGACUUCCCCGGGGACUUGAUCCCCUUGA